rnacentral:lncRNA from 10 species
AGCGUUCAGUGGGAAGAGAGCAGACCAUCGUCCACCCACAUUCCAGACUCCAACUGGCAGAGGGGAGGGGACGUUGGGGCUGCAGGGCCACCAAUGUGGACGGGACAGAGCCCCAGGGACAGCCUGUGCUGGGGACGUAUGGGGGCAGGAUCAGACCCCACAGUGCCUGCGGGCCACAAGGCCAAGACAGGAUCUGGUAAGUGACGAUUUGGAGGCUGGUCCUGAGGUGCAAGAGGGAGUGCCAGGGACAGAGAGGGCACCGGGGUGACUACAGUCCCUCCAGACUCACAUCUACCCGCACCUGUGGGUGGGGCCUUAUUUGCAUACAGGGUCUUUGCACACGUGGUUGGUUACAAUGAGGAUGCUGGAGGGGGUGGUCUGUGUCCCUGUUAACAACUCAUGUCCUUAAGAGAAAAGAGGAACGUGGACACCCACACAUCGGGAGACGGCCGCAUGGAGACGGAGCAGAGGCUGGAGUGACGCGGCCGCAGACCAAGGGCGCCUGGAGCCCCGGAAGCUGGGAGGGGCAGGAAGGGUCCUCCCCUGGAGCUACUCCUUGACCUCAGCUUCCUGUGGCCUCCAGGACAGGGACAGGCUGCUCUAAGCCACCCAGUUUGCAGCACUGCUGCGGCCGCCACGAGAAGCUCGUCCAGGGAGGAGGCUGCUCCAGCCCUGAGCCCCACGCGACUCCCGGAAAGGUGUACUGGCCAGACUCAGCGCCCUGAGGACGGGGUCGGAACCCAGCGCCCAGGAAGCUCCCCUCCCCCCGACCAAGGACCUCCCUCCAGGGUGUGCCCGGAGGAGGUCAAGACUCCACUGCCCUGAAGCAAACAAGGCGUCCAGCCCGAGCCAGGGUCACACGCCCAACAGGUAGGAUCCAGCAACCCCUGCGCAGCAGCCCCCGCCAUGCGAGGGAGGACCCGGAGUUGAGCGUGGCCCUGCCUGACAUCUGACCCCGCCGUCAGGAGCUCCACCAGACGUUAAGCUAAAUCCCCACUCACUCCAGACUUCCGGUCCUUUGAAAUGGAGGUGCCCUUGUGUGUCUUCAAUCCAUGUGGAGGGUAGUCUGGCCCAUCCCACACCUGCUACUGUCACUGCCUCACAUCAGCGGCCUCAGGCCACAAGGUCUCCCCACCUGGCUCCUUGGGGAGUGCCAAGCGUUGCCAGCAGCCGGGCUAUGCUGAUCCCAGACAAGUGGCUCGACCGGUCACCACUGUCCUUGAGCUUAAGUCCAGCCUUGGUGACAAAAAUGUCACAAGGACCUGCAUCCGAGCCCUGAGGGCAUCAGGUCCUGGAGGAGGAGGAAGAGUCCCUUCUGGCUUCGGGCUGGGCUUGAGGACGGCAGCUCCAAGACCGCUUAGAGCGAGACUUCAGCGCUGACUGCUGGAGCUACGCACCCUGUCCUGACAAUGGCCGCACAGUUAGGCGCUGCUCCACGCCUGGAGGAGGGAACUGAGGGCCCGAAAUCACAGAAGCAGGAACUCCAGGUUCGCCAGUGCGGCCUGAUCCACCUUCCCUCAAACGUAGCUGCUGACAACGACACCCACGCGCCCUCUCUGGGCCCAGCAGGUCAGAGGUCCAGGUGGGCUGGCUGCUCCACGGCCACGGCUCCAAGGCCAAGGUCAAGGCACUGCUGUCCUGGGCCCUGGUCUGGGUUCUCCGGGAGAGUCCGCGCCUGAGCUCGGCCGGGGGCGGGAUUCUGCUCCCUGUGGCCACUGGGCUGAGGCCCCACUUCCCUGCUUUCGGGGAGCCACGUCCCCCAUCACGCCAUCCCUCCCUCCUAAAAGCCAGCAGGGCAAGGUCCCUCUUAGGCUUCUGACCUGACCUCCCCUCCUCCAGCUGGAGAAGGGUCCCACGCAUGAGGACAUUUGUGACGAUGCCGGGACCCGAGGAAUCCAGGACGACCCCUCUGCAGAGCCCCUGUGCCCCGGGAGGCACCACACCCACGGCUCCAGGGGGUGGGGGGGACGGUGGCUUCUCUGGGGCUGACCCAGACCUGCAGUACACAGCGCCAGGCCAUGAGGUCUCAGCCUGCGGUCAGGCCGCGUGCACGGAAACCCAGGCUCCUGAACGGCCAGCCAGGAGCAAAGCCGGCCACUGAGUACGGGAGCAGGCUCCGGGGACACGCUCCCACUCCUUUUAGGGGCCCAGAGGCUGUGGAUGAGGAGCUCGAGUAUCCCCCUCUCAGUGUAACCUCCCCACCCCUCCCACAUCCUCCAAGUGGGGCAGGAGCCGCCUCACCAGAGCUGGGGGAGGGGGCCACACAGGUGCACCCCUGGGGAGGGGCAGCGGAGACUUGUGGGCAGGAAUGUGGCCAGGGUUUCUAGAUCAUCUGGUUUUUCAAGAGAAGCCACAAGUCUGCGUUUGAGGGUGGCAGCCCCUGGUGUUCCAAAGUCGGCAAGCAAUUCAAGCAUCCACACCCCCACCCCGGGGCAGCGUUGGGUGCCCAGACCUCAGGGCCACCCCGAGAGCUCCUGCAUCCACCUGGGGGCUCGCAGCUCCCCCAAGCUCCUGGCGGGUAGCAGUCAUUCCAGGAUCUGAUAAAAGCCCCCGAAAAUGCCCCGGUCAGCCCAGCCACACCCGGGCAACACCGACAGCCAUUCUCCACCAGGGCCCCAGCGCCCAGCUGAGUGAGACCCACCCGGUAGCUUCCGGGGCUGGGCCCCUGCCCCACCAGUGAAAACAUUCUGGUCACAGUGAUGCCGCCCUGAGAAGCUCCUCACCGUCCCCCGUGGCCUUGGAACCCCCCUCACACCCAUGGGUUCCAGGCACCCUGGCGGCUGUCUGUCCCCACGAAGCCUGGCCCUCUCACAGCGUAGGGAGGCUGCGGUCACCAGCGUGGGUCCCGCGACCCAUUCCACCCGGCCCCUGGGCACCGGAAGCCAGGCGGCGAGCGCAGCAGACCCCAGAGGCAGCUUUCCUCAGUUUACCUGACAUGCAAAGGAAGACGCCUCCUCACUCCAGGCUGGACGGGCAGCCGACGGCGGUCCGGGGCCAUGGCGGGCAGGGACUUUCUCCGUGACCCUCCCUGGCUGCCCCUCCCCAGCAAGUGAGUCAGUUCCAGAAACGUUUACUGCCCGCCAGGCCCGAAGGCUCACCGGCUCCCCCUCCCCACGCCCCAGCACCCAGGGCCUUGGCCCCAGGAGCCCACAGCGGCAGAGACUCCCAGGAAACGCGAGUGAGCCGCCUUCCGGAACCUGGCGCACAUCACUUUCAAAACGCAGCGGGGCCUGGAACCAAGGCCAAGGCCGCCUCUUUCGGUUUCACUUGGACGCUUGUUCUUGCUGGGGAUGGAGGUCAAUCACAAGGCUCCGGGAAGCACGGGCACGAGUCACAAAGCAGGUCACUGAGACAGCGGCACCAGGCCCGCCAGUCCGAUCUGCUGACCCCAGCCAGGGCCCAGCACUCCCAUGCCCUGCACUGCACGAGGCUGCCCGGGACAGUGCCUGCAGGGGAGAUGACUCGGCAAUGACUCUCUGGGCCCCUCCUCCCACCCCAUCACUCAUGGGGUUGUCCAGGGCAAGAGGCCCAGGGGAAUCCGCAGGAGAGCCAGGGCACAGGGCACGAGUGCGGCCCCAGGCUGAGGCCUCCGUGGGACUGAGCUUCAGGGCCACGCUGCCAUGCUGAGCUCUCACGGGGCCUCCGCCUGGACCACCAGGCACCCUCAGGCUGACUGGCCCCUGUGUGCCACCCAUGUGGCCCAAGGCCUGUCCCCCUCAUGCCAAGAGCCCCGUAGGGCCCCUUCGAGUAGAAUGCAGCAUUCCCUGCCCCUCCGAAGCAGUGAGUGGUUCAGGGGCAGAGCUGGGCCUGGGCGAGGGGCCCCCGGGGGGUGGGGUGAUGCCAUCACUGUUGCCGUCCUACGGGUUGAGACAGGACAGCUGCCCAUCACCCCUUGAUGCAAGCUGGCUGCAGGCUGCCUGACCAGUUCCCGGGGACACCGUGCUCAACCCUGUGGUGACAACUGGGGAUUCCGAAGGACAGGGAGGUCUUACUUUCUGUUAAACACUUUUAUUUUCCCUGAGAUACAAUCCACACCAGGAGGGGCACCUGUCCGGAGCAUAUGACUCAACGGUUUCAACGUAUUCUAAGGCAGACCACCACAGCUUCUAAUUCCAAAACAUUCCGCUCCCCCAAAACACAGCCGUGUCCCCAACAGCAGUCACUCCCCCGCCUCUACAGCCCCUGCAACCACACGCCCACUUCUCUUCUGUGGACUGGCCUGCUCUGGACACGUGACCACACGUCUACCCCCCAUCUGUGGACUGCCCUGCUCUGCACACGUCACAUGAACGGAGUCACGUGCCGUGGCCUUUUGCGUCUGGCGUCUCUCCGCAAGCACGUCUCCGCAGAGCAUCCAUGCCGGGCGCACAGACGACAGAUCUAAUCUCCGCCUCCUCACGGGGCCCAGGAGGCCCAGGGCGAGAGCUGAUGGGGCCCACGCAUCCGAAAUCCCCGUCUUGGCCAGAACCCCAGAACCCCCUCCAAGCCUCUGCAUGUGCCACGUCCCCCACUGGGGCUCACUCACCCGAGACUUUUAAACUGAGACUCCCUCAAAAGCUACUAAGACGAUCACCAGCCGGGCGCAGUGGCUCACGCCUGUAAUCGCAGCACUUUGAGAGGCUGAGGCGGAUGGAUCACUUGAGGUCGGGAGUUUGAGGCCAACCUGGACAAUAUGAUGAAACCCCGUCUCUACUAAAUAUACAAAAAUUAGCUGGGCGUGAUGGCGGGCACCUGUAAUCCCAGCUACUCAGGAGGCUGAGGCAGUAGUAUCGCUUGAACCUGGGAGGUAGUUAUUGCAGUGAGCUGAGAUCGCACCACUGCACUCCAGCCCGGGCAACAGAGUGAGACUCCAUCUCAAAAAUAAAUAAAUAAAUAACGAAAUAAAAUAAAAUGAAAUAAAAUCAUCACCUCUGGGCCUGUCAGACAUACUCUCU